CCGGCUCUUUUCAGAGCCGG
rnacentral:misc_RNA from 1 species